GUUGUGAGAAGAAGCUUAGACAACGUGUCAAAAAACUUGGCAUUGUGACAGGCUUUUAAUCAUAUUCUACUGUACCUCACGAGGGAAGACGCAGUGAUAAUCGCCAUCACCUGAGAGAAUGCAGCAGAAGUUACUUUUGUGUGCGUUCCAGGAGCCCAGCAACUGUUCUUUAUUCAUCUCUGUAUCCCCAACAGUGGGGCUUGCCAAAUACUGAAAAAUGGGGAAGUGUCCAUGCAAAGUGAGACUUUGAUUUGUGGAAGAGCUGCAGAGACUGGCAUGACCUUGACUCAGGGCAUUGGACUUGACAGCACAUCCCCGGUCUGGUCAGCAGGCCCCGCGCAUGCUAGCAACCCAGCCAAGUCACCGGAGACUGUGCGCAAUUCUACUUAAGGGAUCAAUUCAUAAACUGUUUCUUUUU